CGUAGGCAGCUUACCAAGCCAUCACUGACGCUGAGGCACGAAAGCGUGGGUAGCAAACAGGAUUAGAUACCCUGGUAGUCCACGCCGUAAACGUUGAUUACUCGUUGUUGGCAAUACACCGUCAGCGACUGAGCAAAAGCAUUAAGUAAUCCACCUGGGGAGUACGUCAGCAAUGAUGAAACUCAAAGGAAUUGACGGGGGCCCGCACAAGCGGAGGAACAUGUGGUUUAAUUCGAUGAUACGCGAGGAACCUUACCUGGGCUUAAAUGUUUAGUGAUCGACCGGGAGACCGGUUUUUCCUUCGGGACACUUUACAAGGUGCUGCAUGGUUGUCGUCAGCUCGUGCCGUGAGGUGUCGGGUUAAGUCCCAUAACGAGCGCAACCCCUAUCGCCAGUUGCCAGCACAUAAUGGUGGGAACUCUGGUGAAACUGCCGGUGCAAACCGUGAGGAAGGUGGGGAUGACGUCAAAUCAGCACGGCCCUUAUGUCCAGGGCUACACACGUGUUACAAUGGUCGGUACAACAGGAUGCCAAUCCGCAAGGAUGAGCUAAUCCCAAAAGCCGAUCUUAGUUCGGAUCGGAGUCUGCAAUUCGACUCCGUGAAGUUGGAUUCGCUAGUAAUCGCAGAUCAGCCAUGCUGCGGUGAAUACGUUCCCGGGCNUUGUACACACCGCCCGUCAAGCCAUGGAAGCCGGGGGUGCCUGAAGUCCGUAACCGUAAGGA
rnacentral:rRNA from 1 species